ACCGACCUCUGUAAUAUUUAAAAGUUCUAUUUUUAUUUUGUCUAGCGAAUAAUUAAACCUACUAAUUCAUUUGACGGCUUUUAUAAUCUUCAAAGUUGCAGAUUUGGACUUUGUUAAUGUUCAAAGGGUGUUGGAGUAGAUGAUUUCUUUGCUCAAGCCUAGAUUUUUUGCUGUGUAUUAUUCUUAAUUAUGUGCACCAUAUAUUAUGCCUGUGGUUCUUAUUGUAUGCAUCAAAAAAGAGAAAGUGGAUUUGUCAUAGCGGUUUCUAUCAUGCUUUUGCAACUCAAUGUUUCUUUUUUUUUUAUGAUUUCAUUUCUUAUAUUUCCAUGUUUUAUUAAAUGUGUGGGUACUUGCAUGUACAAUGUUCUAAAAGGUGGCCCUAGUAUAGGGGUUAUUAGGUACCACAUAGUGCAUGAGAGAUAUGUGGUGCAUAUGCAGGCUCAUAUGCUAUUAGAUAUUGUAAUAUAAAAAAAUAUAAUCUAGUAUCAGCCAAGAACAUAUGGAAUAUUCAAUCAUGUUGUGAUGCACGACCAUGCAUUAUGCUAUUUAAGUAAUGUUGUAUUAGAAAUGAUACAAAUAAGCAUAAACGACAUGAUUAUUAGAUAUCCAUGAUUAUGGAGAAUGCAUUUGUGGUUGCAUGGGCAUCUACAUAUGCAGCUGCACCAACCAACAUAUAUGCAGAACCAUUCUUUUUGAACUUUGUAUCCUACUGUUAUGAAUGAGUAGGUGAUACAAAAUGGUAUGCAUAUACUCAAGUUGCAUUUCUCACAUGUUGGGCAUCUGUGCCAUUGAACUACUGUUAUGAAUGAGUAGGUGAUACAAAAUGGUAUGCAUAUGCUCACGUUGCAUGUUUCACAUGUUGGGCAUCUGUGCCACUGAAGUUGUGAAGUGCGUGUUGUUAAUUUGAAGCUUUUGAAACAUCGAGGACAAAUGAGGAUCAACUAUCAGUCCAAGCAUUUGGAAUGAACACUAUAGCUUCUAAAGCAUCUUUUAGUUGUCUUCUUUACAACAGGAAAUCUUGGUCCUAGGUCUUGCAUUUGGUGAUUUUCAGUUGUAAAUCAUCCUUUAUUGUACUGUUUCAAUGGUGUAUCAUGUUUGACUGCUUGACUAGUACAACAACAAUAACAAUGUGUUUCAAUUAUUUUUGACUGGUUGACUUGUUAAAUAUUCUGUUACAUAUUUUAAAUUACCAUCUAAUGAAGCAGAUGCCCCUGAAUUGUUCAUUGGUGAGAUAUAGGGAUUUGAAUGUUUUCAUUCUGUAAUCUGGGAUUCUAUGGGAUAUCCAUGUUAUUAGGAUUCAAUGAAAGUGAGACCAAAAACUACUGCAGGAUCCUACAUUUUACCUCAAAUAUGGUUUAGUUCUUUGAUGGUUCCCUUACCACCAACAGUUGUCUUAAAGGCUUAAACUAUUCUUUUUCACACCAUAUUUGCUCCAGUAUUAUCACCAACAAUACAUUUUGAGCAGAGUUGAUAACAUCUUGUUAUGGUGUGCAAUUUUGAUUAAAGAUUCAUCCUUCCUGCUUGACACACAAACACACACACACACACAACCUACAGUUGUGUGCAAUUAUGGUUUAGUUCUUUGAUGGUUCCCUUACCACCAACAGUUGUCUUAAAGGCUUAAACUAUUCUUUUUCACACCAUAUUUGCUCCAGUAUUAUCACCAACAAUACAUUUUGAGCAGAGUUGAUAACAUCUUGUUAUGGUGUGCAAUUUUGAUUAAAGAUUCAUCCUUCCUGCUUGACACACAAACACACACACACACACAACCUACACAUUUGCUUAAACUACAUUAAUACUGACCACCUAACAAUCUUCUUUACAGCCAUUGCAACUGUAGUCACCAUUGCAGAGAUUCUCAAAAAUAAUGGUCUUGCUGUUGAGAAGAGUAAGAUACAAUACAUUUUUGUCUUACCUUUUGGAUUAUAUAUUUCAUAAAGCUACCAAUGAGUUGGACACUAAUUGCUCUGUGAUGAA
rnacentral:lncRNA from 1 species